UACGGGGGGAGCAAGCGUUGUUCGGAUUUCCUGGGCGUAAAGGGCGCGUAGGCGGCCUCUGCAAGUCGACUGUGAAAUCUCCGGGCUUAACCCGGAACGGUCAGCCGAUACUGCAGGGCUAGAGUGCAGAAGGGGCAACUGGAAUUCUCGGUGUAGCGGUGAAAUGCGUAGAUAUCGAGAGGAACACCUGCGGCGAAGGCGGGUUGCUGGGCUGACACUGACGCUGAGGCGCGAAAGCGUGGGGAGCAAACAGG
rnacentral:rRNA from 1 species